GGAACGAGAUAGUUGGUCCGCCGUCAAGGUGUGCACCGAUUACCUCUUCCUCCCUAUGGGAUACUCACCUCUGCCCUUAACUGAGUGGAGGUAAAAGUGUGGUGUACGGGGCAACUCGUGCAUCACAUGGAGUUCCCAUUCAUUUACUUUGAAUAAAUUAGAGUGUUCAAAGCAGGCAUAAAGGGCCUUUGAAUACAUUAGCAUGGGAUAAUAGAAUAGGAUCGCGAUCCUCAUUUUGUUGGUUUCUAGGGUCGAGAUA
rnacentral:rRNA from 1 species